rnacentral:rRNA from 1 species
CAACGCGAAAAACCUUACCUACCCUUGACAUGUACGGAAUCCUGCUGAGAGGUGGGAGUGCUCNAAAGAGAACCGUAACACAGGUGCUGCAUGGCUGUCGUCAGCUCGUGUCGUGAGAUGUUGGGUUAAGUCCCGCAACGAGCGCAACCCUUGUCCUUAGUUGCUACGCAAGAGCACUCUAGGGAGACUGCCGGUGACAAACCGGAGGAAGGUGGGGAUGACGUCAAGUCCUCAUGGCCCUUAUGGGUAGGGCUUCACACGUCAUACAAUGGUCGGUACAGAGGGCUGCCAAACCGNGAGGUGGAUCUAACCCCAUAAAACCGAUCGUAGUCCGGAUCGCAGUCUGCAACUCGACUGCGUGAAGCUGGAAUCGCUANUAAUCGCGGAUCACCAUGUCGCGGUGAAUACGUUCCCGGGUCUUGUACACACCGCCCGUCACACA